rnacentral:rRNA from 1 species
AGGACUAACGCUGGCGGCGUGCCUAACACAUGCAAGUCGAACGAGGGGUAGCAAUACCCCUAGUGGCAGACGGGUGAGUAACACGUAGUCAACCUACCUCUUAAUGGGGGAUAACUAGCCGAAAGGUUAGCUAAUACCGCAUACGAUCGUCGAGUGGCAUCACACGACGAUGAAAGGAGCAAUCCGUUGAGAGAGGGGACUGCGUCCCAUUAGUUAGUUGGUGGGGUAAUGGCCUACCAAGACUCCGAUGGGUAGCUGGCUUGAGAGAGCGACCAGCCACACUGGAACUGAGACACGGUCCAGACUCCUACGGGAGGCAGCAGUGAGGAAUUUUUCCGCAAUGGGGGAAACCCUGACGGAGCGACGCCGCGUGUGGGAAGAAGGCCUUCGGGUCGUAAACCACUGUCGAGGGGGACGAUAUUGACGGUACCCCUGGAGGAAGCCCCGGCUAACGUACGCGCCAGCAGCCGC